rfam:Candidatus Portiera aleyrodidarum strain AF-CAI genome assembly, chromosome: I
GGGUGGUUAGCUCAGUAGGAAGAGCAUCAGUAUUACAAACUGAGGGUCGCAAGUUCGAAUCUUGCACUACCCA